GAAGAAACAAUUGCGUUCAGGACACUCUGGGCGGUCAUUAAAGGGUUAAACCGUUGAAGCACCAAGUCAUGUAACAAAACAACAUGGCAUCAAUCUCAGCAAUGGCAGCAAAACUACAUCUGUCCUUGUGGUGGUGUAGUGGCAUGCCUCAAUCUGGGUGGCGGAGGAUGAAUCUCAGUUGCCUCCGUGUCUGAGACCAUCAAUCUGCGCAUCUUAUCACAUGGCUUGUUGAGCACGUGACCGUGGAGACCUAGCGCAUGUGGAGGCUUCACGCUA